GUUAUAAACAGAUUUUUUUUUUUAAAAGAGUCAGAUAUAUAUAUAUGACGAAAGUUAACUUUCAGCGACAAAUUAUUUAUCACCCAUAGAAAACAGAUUGGAAAAGAAAGAUGUUUCUUUUAAUUUGUGCCAUGGUAUUGCAAAAUCUCUCAUCAGCAGAAGAGUCUUACCAACCGCCUACUGUUGAUUGUGACUGUAAUGUAAGUGGAACUUGCAGAUCAUUUGGUGAUAGAUGGGAGAAGGAUUGUAUAACGUAUGAAUGUCAGCGUGGUCAAGGCAACACUUGGAAGGCGGCAUUUGUAAAAUUAGAAUGUAAAGAUGCCUAUGGUCAUUGUAGACAUAAUAAUGAGUAUAUGAGUGUGUUAAACCAUGGAAAAUUGUUUCAUAAUUGUCUCUGUAAAGUGACCGGCUUUGGAAUCAGCAUAAACUGUGCACAACGAAACGGAAACGUCAACGUGUCUUAGAAAAAUGAUACAUCUAUUCAAGGAAAGAAAAUGUUGAACACUUCAAAGCAUGCGACAAAAGAAAAAUAUAUACCCUUUACACUUAUUAUUUAUUAUACAGUUUGAAAUAUAGUCUAUUGAAUUAA